rfam:Populus trichocarpa scaffold_6_contig_317, whole genome shotgun sequence.
GUGCUUUAGGGAUGAACAAGUCCCUUACAAGUAAUUAUCACCACCCAGUUGCCCUUUUCAACAGCCUAUUGAAUUUCUUGCUGAACAUUAGAGGAUGGAGAAUGC